CUGUAUUUCUGUGUGUGUGUUUUUCGGUCUGUCCGGCAGCUGGUUGCCGUUGGCGCGGUCAUCAAAUACACACACGCACAUAUACACAGGCAAGAAACACACCAAACAGAUUCUCUGAUAAUGUUAUCAGCAACAGCAGCCCCUGCUCUGCCGUAUAGGAAAAUACGAGGCAACGGAUACACACCAAAACGAAAGACUUGAGGUUUUCUCUCUCCUAUCUUUCCUCUCUCGUGUUGUUCAGGUGUAUAAGGCCAAAGCCAAGAUUAUCAAUGUCAGAUGGCCAUAGCGCUCGGAGGCAGACAGAACAAGAAGACAACAAAGGGUUUUCUGUUUAAAUGAAUACUGCAAUUUGAUUCCGAAUAGUAUAUUAUGCAUAACAAAUGAGAGAACCAUUCGAAAACACAUAAAUCUGAAUGCAGGAAGCCCAGAAUAUACCUUAACAGAAAACAACAGCGAAAAAUCCAGAGAAAAUGUUUGUUUCUUUCUGUAAAUCCAAAAAUAAGUGGAGAGAGAGAGAGAGAAUGUCAUUUACGGAAUGUCAAACGAGAGAGAAAAAACAAUAUCAUAUAAAUAGGAAUGAUGGGAAUCUAAUCAGAUUUUUCGGCUUUCUGGCGCUCACACCAUGGCCGGUCGCUACUGAAACAAGGAAGAGGUAAAGAAGGCAUUUACCAAAAGAGACUGGGAGGAACAGAUGAAGCUUGGCUAUGAAUAAUAAUAAAAAAGUUCCAUGGGUUGGUUAUUUUCGGAGGAAGAGCUGCACCGUGCUGCUCGACAGAUGUCGUCAACCGGCCAAAAUUUUCUUCUUGUCCCGUCAAACAACAACAACAAAAAAUGGUGGAGGCCCUUCACUUCUUGUAGACGUAACUCUCAGCGCCGCCACGUCCGAAACCUAAAAAAGAAACGACAAAGACACAAGGUGAAAAUUAAAUUUUGACAUUUUUUUUUUCUUUUUCGGCUGAAGAAAAAGAGACACAAAACAAGACGUAUUAUAUAGACAUUAGUCAUGUUCCAAAUUCCCGACUGACCAGUAUAAAAAUCUUCAUUAAAAUAGUAGCAUGUUUCUAAUUCGUGCCCAACAGGUUUUUCUUUUUUUUUUUUUUUUAGAUGGAAAUCUUGACUUUUUUUGUAACCAAAGUCAAGUCUUUCUCUAACAUACAUAAUAUCCUGCCUCUCCAAUCUCCAUCCAUGAGGAAUGGGCUGCAUAAAUAUCCGUCUGACAACCGCCGUUUUUUCUUGUUUUGUUUUGUGAAUGUGAAUGAAAGUUUCCAGCAAAAGCAAAAUGUUAAGAAAAAGUAACAAGUGGUUGCGUUUUGAUGAAUAGCGGGUUCAGUUUGUUGUCUAACUUUCAAACAACUUCAACGAAAAUACGGAUAACGAAGCACGAUACUAAAUAGGGUUUGGUUGUUUGAGUUCGUCCAUCUCUUACCUCCUGGACCGAAUAGAGCUGAAUAGCACGGGUUGUUGCAGUACGGCUUGCCUUCGUGUUCAGCGUGCUGCGUGUUGUUAUUGUACACACAUGGAUAGAAGAAGAACAAGAAUUCAAGAAUUAAAAAAAAAAGGUUUGUCUCCAAUUAAAGAGAGGCAACAGCCAUCAUUUGUUUUAUGUUUCUCUUUUUACGUACCUGACCAGGAACCAAAGUCUUGUUGCAUUUUUCACAUUUCAAGCAGAGCCCAUGCCAGUCUUUGCCCAAAGAAGUCUUCCUCUCGGC